rnacentral:snRNA from 1 species
UUUAAUUUCACCGAACAGGAU